GACGAACGCUGGCGGCGUGCUUAACACAUGCAAGUCGAACGGAAAGGCGCGGCUUUUGUUUGUUGCGCGAGUGGCGAACGGGUGAGUAACACGUGAGGAACCUGCCCUUGACUUUGGGAUAACUUCAGGAAACUGGGGCUAAUACCGGAUAGGAGCACCUGCUGCAUGGUGGGGGUGGGAAAGUUGCGGCGGUGGGGGAUGGACUCGCGGCGUAUCAGCUUGUAGGUGGGGUAGUGACUUACCAAGGCUGUGACGGGUAGCCGGCCUGCGAGGGUGACCGGCCACGUUGCGACUGGGAUACGGCCCAGACUCCUCCGGGAGGCAGCAGUGGGGAAUAUUGCAUAAUGGGCGGAAGCCUGAUGCAGCGCCGCCGCGUGCGGGAUGACGGGCUUCGGGUUGUAAACCGCUUUCGCCUGUGACGAAGCGUGAGUGACGGUAAUGGGUAAAGAAGCAACGGCUAACUACGUG
rnacentral:rRNA from 1 species